rnacentral:rRNA from 1 species
UACGUAGGGUGCGAGCGUUAUUCGGAAUUAUUGGGCGUAAAGGGCGCGUAGGCGGCCGGACAAGUGGAAGGUGAAAUCCCCGAGCUCAACUCGGGAACUGCCCUCCAAACUGUUUGGCUUGAGUCCGGGAGAGGUGAGUGGAAUUCCCAGUGUAGCGGUGAAAUGCGUAGAGAUCAGCAGGAAUACCCGUGGCGAAGGCGGCCCCCUGGGCCGAACCUGACGCUGAGGCGCGAAGGCUAGGGAGCGAACGGG